rnacentral:lncRNA from 1 species
GACGGAAUCAGAAGCGAAGUUCUUCCUCUCCAUCAUGAGUCUUUGGGCUCGCUUAUUUUAGGCUGGGUCCAAGAGCCCAAAUGGGCUGGGCCAUUAUACCGUAUUACCAAAUAAAAAACAAGAACUAGGACUUCGAGCUUUUUUAUAUGGUCAGUCCAAUUCAAAUUCAAUAGGACAUGCGGCAAAAUGUACCAACUACGUGUGCGGGUACAUAUUGUGCAUGCCACGCCACAUGCGGGGCAUGGCCGGCUG